CCCCAACACUGUCACAACCAUGCAAGAUGCAGGCAUGAAACUGUACAGGUGUGGCGUUGAGAUCGAAAUGAAGGCUGAGUUUGAAGUUGGUUGUGGCCUGAGCAAUGGCGCUGGAAGCUGGCCCACAUUUGUUUUAAGUCGUGGAUCACUGCAUCCCACUUUCAAUUGCAAAAUGUGGUCUUGGAGAGACCUACUUACCAUCUUUACAGCUGAAGACAUGGCUGUUGCAAAUCGUCCUGGAAAGAGGUAAUUUUCAUAAAUUUCUUAUGAUUUUCCCCCCAAACAUAUUUAUAAUUAUUUAAUCAUUCAAGUCUCUAGAGUAACCCUCCCCCCAAAAAUUGUACCUAGGAUAAAUAUUUUUUUGUUCAUGGGCUUAUUUCUGUGAGUGGCAACAAAAGUUGCCAGUGGGCACAUAGCGUGUCGCUAACUAAACGAAAACACAUUCUGCAGGAUUGCUCCUAAUUUGCUUAUUUAAAAUUGUAGAAUGAUGUACAAUGGCUCAUUUUAGUCCUCUUAGAAUACUCUUCCUAGCUAAAUAAAUUCACAGGUAUUCAAGGCCUGUGUGAUGAUUCAUCAAUAGCAUCAUAUGCAAACAUAAACAUGGCACAUUCAUGCAUCUAUCAUGCUUGCUUUGUCAUUCAUUUAGGUCCUGGAAAAGCGGGCAGAAGGAUCUCCUCUCCUUCCAGAGGCUGGUAGCCCUGACCCUCCUUCUACGCCAUGGAACAAAGCCAAGUAGGCAGGGCAGAAGGUCUUCAAUGGCUGUGGGAUAACUGAUGCCACCAGGUUUGAUAGUUUGAACCACUGGCUCUGCAACACUGGUAGCAGGUACAAGCGAUGCAAGAACUGUGGCGGACGCACAUCAUUUGCGUGUGGAAAGUGUGAUGUGCCACUACAUGUGGAGUGCUUCAAGAAGUACCACACUGAGUAGAACAUGCAUGAAAGAUGAUGGAAUGUAUGGGAAGAAAUAUGUUAUAUAUAUAUAUAUAUAUAUAUAUAUGUUUUUAGAGGUUCUAAGAAAAAACUGUUUGUUGAGGUUUUGAGUAUAAAAAAAUUGAGAAUAAAGAAACCAGUUCAAAUUGUUUGUUGUUUUGAAUUUUAUACAGGGGGAACCUGAGGCUCCACCUUUUUGUUAUUAUUUAAUAUGACUUUAUUAUUAUUUUGUUAUUACUAUCUUAUUAUUAUUAUUUCUCUAUUAUUAUUAGGUGACAUUUGACCUAGUGACAAGCUGUGUGACUACUGGCAACAAUUGUUGCCAGUCAUAAAAAUGCUAUUUUCUUCAAAACAAAGUACAAAAUGGAAAAAAUAAAUACAUAAUAUGAUUCAGAGGGACUCAACUGAUAAAAUGAUAUGCCUUACAACUCUGAAAAAAAUCUGGGCACAAAUGGUUAGAAAGAAUAUUCUUAGCCAAUAAAGUCUUACAAAUUUCGGAGAGAGAAAGUUAUAGACAUUGUUCCACUUGACAAAAACAUAUACUUUAUAAACUUUUUUGAUCAUUUAAAUUCAGUUGCACUUGCUUUAACAAAUAGUAUACAUUUUGAAAAGCAUUGAUGAUUUGUGUAAAUUUAAUAUAAUUCUGUUGUUAAAAUGGCUUUAUAUAAGAGUGUGCUAUGACUAACUCAAAACUGUUGGGACUUGACUUGGGACUCAAGGGCAAAGGGUCAAGACUUAAUUGUCAUUUGGAGACUUCCGAGCGACGUGAUUGGAGUAGACAGAAGCGUAGACUCGCAGCUCCACUAGACCCGUUAAUAAUUACCCGAU
rnacentral:lncRNA from 15 species